UGGGGAAUCUUGCGCAAUGGGGGAAACCCUGACGCAGCAACGCCGCGUGGGUGAUGAAGGCCUUCGGGUCGUAAAGCCCUGUCAGGUGGGAAGAAACUUGUGGAUGUUAAUACCAUCCAUGCUUGACGGUACCACCGGAGGAAGCACCGGCUAACUCCGUGCCAGCAGCCGCGGUAAUACGGAGGGUGCAAGCGUUGUUCGGAAUCAUUGGGCGUAAAGAGCGUGUAGGCGGUCGGGUAAGUCAGAUGUGAAAUCCCUUGGCUUAACCAAGGAAGUGCAUUUGAAACUGCCCGGCUUGAGUACGGGAGGGGGAAGUGGAAUUCCCGGUGUAGAGGUGAAAUUCGUAGAUAUCGGGAGGAACACCGGUGGCGAAGGCGGCUUCCUGGACCGAUACUGACGCUGAGACGCGAAAGCGUGGGGAGCAAACAGGAUUAGAUACCCCGGUAGUCCUAGCCGUAAACGAUGGACGCUAGAUGUUCCUGCGUUUAUGCGGGAGUGUCGAAGCUAACGCGUUAAGCGUCCCGCCUGGGGAGUACGGUCGCAAGGCUG
rnacentral:rRNA from 1 species